GUGUCAGCAGCCGCGGUAAUACAGAGGUGGCAAGCGUUGUUCGGAAUUACUGGGCGUAAAGGGCGCGUAGGCGGCCUUCUAAGUCGGACGUGAAAUCCCCAGGCUUAACUUGGGAACUGCGUCCGAUACUGGAGGGCUUGAGUGCGGGAGAGGGAUGUGGAAUUCCAGGUGUAGCGGUGAAAUGCGUAGAUAUCUGGAGGAACACCGGUGGCGAAGGCGGCAUCCUGGACCGACACUGACGCUGAUGCGCGAAAGCCAGGGGAGCAAACGGGAUUAGAAACCCGAGUAGUCC
rnacentral:rRNA from 1 species